UUUCCAGACUCCUACGGGAGGCAGCAGUGGGGAAUAUUGCACAAUGGGGGAAACCCUGAUGCAGCGACGCCGCGUGAGUGAAGAAGUCAUUCGUUAUGUAAAGCUCUAUCAGCAGGGAAGAAAAUGACGGUACCUGAGUAAGAAGCCCCGGCUAACUACGUGCCAGCAGCCGCGGUAAUACGUAGGGGGCAAGCGUUAUCCGGAUUUACUGGGUGUAAAGGGAGCGUAGACGGCAGCGCAAGUCUGGAGUGAAAUGCCGGGGCUCAACCCCGGAACUGCUUUGGAAACUGUGCAGCUAGAGUGCGGGAGAGGUAAGCGGAAUUCCUAGUGUAGCGGUGAAAUGCGUAGAUAUUAGGAGGAACACCAGUGGCGAAGGCGGCCUGCUGGACGAUGACUGACGUUGAGGCUCGAAAGCGUGGGGAGCAAACAGGAUUAGAUACCCUCGUAC
rnacentral:rRNA from 1 species